CGUAGGACCCAAGCGUUAUCCGGAAUUACUGGGCGUAAAGAGUUGCGUAGGCGGCUGUGUAAGCAAGGUGUGAAAGCGUGUGGCUCAACCAUACAUCCAUGCCUUGAACUGCACAGCUAGAGAAUGGAAGAGGUGGCUGGAAUUCCUAGUGUAGGAGUGAAAUCCGUAGAUAUUAGGAGGAACACCGAUGGCGUAGGCAGGCCACUGGUCCAUUUCUGACGCUCAGGCACGAAAGCGUGGGGAGCGAACGGGAUUAGAUACCCCGGUAGUCCACGCCGUAAACGAUGGAUGCUAGCUGUUAACCGUAUCGACCCGGUUAGUAGCGAAGCUAACGCGUUAAGCAUCCCGCCUGUGGAGUACGGCCGCAAGGCUA
rnacentral:rRNA from 1 species